rnacentral:rRNA from 1 species
UACGUAGGCGGCAAGCGUUGUCCGGAUUUACUGGGCGUAAAGAGCGCGCAGGCGGUCGUUCAAGUCGCGUGUGAAAGCCCCCGGCUCAACUGGGGAGGGUCACGCGAUACUGAUCGACUGGAAGGCAGGAGAGGGUAGUGGAAUUCCCGGUGUAGUGGUGAAAUGCGUAGAUAUCUGGAGGAACACCGGUGGCGAAAGCGCGAGACUGGGCCGUAACUGACGCUGAGGAACGAAAGCCAGGGUAGCCAAAGGG